rnacentral:rRNA from 1 species
CAGCAGCCGCGGUAAUACAGAGGGUGCGAGCGUUAAUCGGAUUUACUGGGCGUAAAGCGUGCGUAGGCGGCUAAUUGAGUCGGAUGUGAAAUCCCCGAGCUUAACUUGGGAAUUGCAUUCGAUACUGGUUAGCUAGAGUGUGGGAGAGGAUGGUAGAAUUCCAGGUGUAGCGGUGAAAUGCGUAGAGAUCUGGAGGAAUACCGAUGGCGAAGGCAGCCAUCUGGCCUAACACUGACGCUGAGGUACGAAAGCAUGGGGAGCAAACAGGAUUAGAUACCCCCGUAGUCCCUGUAUCUUAUAC